rnacentral:rRNA from 1 species
CCCUUAGAUGUUCUGGGCCGCACGCGCGCUACACUGAUGGAUUCAACGAGUAUUAUGACACUGUUUUGGUGUUGUAGUCCUUGGUCGGAAGGCCUGGGUAAUCUUGUAAAUGUCCAUCGUGAUGGGGCUAGAUUUUUGCAAUUUUGAAUCUCCAACGAGGAAUUCCUAGUAAACGCAAGUCAUCAGCUUGCAUUGAUUACGUCCCUGCCCUUUGUACACACCGCCCGUCGCACCUACCGAUUGAAUGGUCCGGUGAAAUCUCGGAACGGCGGCUUGGUCGCUUGCGUCCGACUGCUGAAACUUGAUUAAACCAUNUNAUUUAGNGGAAGGUGAANUCGUANCA